GACAGAGGGGGCAAGCGUUGCUCGGAAUCACUGGGCGUAAAGGGCGCGUAGGCGGGAUGGCAAGUCGGUCGUGAAAUCCUUCGGCUCAACCGAAGAACGUCGGCCGAUACUGCCGUUCUUGAGGGAUGCAGAGGAGAUUGGAAUUCCCGGUGUAGCGGUGAAAUGCGCAGAUAUUGGGAAGAACACCAGUGGCGAAGGCGGUUCUCUGGGACGGUACUGACGCUGAGACGCGAAAGCGUGGGGAGCGAACAGG
rnacentral:rRNA from 1 species